rnacentral:rRNA from 1 species
UACGGGGGGGGCAAGCGUUGUUCGGAAUUACUGGGCGUAAAGGGCUCGUAGGUGGCCAACUAAGUCAGAGGUGAAAUCCCUCGGCUUAACCGGGGAACUGCGUCUGAUACUGGAUGGCUUGAGUUCGGGAGAGGGAUGCGGAAUUCCAGGUGUAGCGGUGAAAUGCGUAGAUAUCUGGAGGAACACCGGUGGCGAAGGCGGCAGCCUGGACCGAUACUGACGCUGAGGAGCGAAAGCCAGGGGAGCAAACGGG